GCCAGCCUCACCAAGUUGGGUUUUAACAUGUUAAGUCAGUGGUGUGAAAAUCAGGCCCCAUCUCAUAAAUACGAUAUCAAAUAGUAUGACGGGGCCGCCACCUGGGCCACAAAAUUGAGUGCACUCAGUAAACAGUGCUGCUAAUAGAAACAGUGUAACGUUAGGAACAGAGGGACACACAGAAUAGGAACGAGCAGGAAGAAGGGAGCCCAGCUGCCCUGGCAUCUAGGGCCAGCCCGACCCCGAAACCGAGACGCUGCGUUUCUCUGACAUCUUCCUGGCUCUCUUGUGUAUCCCACUGACGUCUUCGUGUUCUCCGUAGAGAACCAGUACCCACAUGAUACGCAAGUCCCAAUUGCAGACUCCUCUCCUCAGACCUGCCUUGUGCUCACAUUGUCCUACACGUGAUCGCCCUUCUCCCAUGCACUGAAGAGCACAUCACAGAGUGUGGGCGAGGCAUGUAUUUCAGCACUGAGCCCAGCUCCAUGGUGCGUCAAGCUUUUGUUUUGUGGGAGAUGCAUAAAGUGUGCAAAGGACGCAGGUGCAGAAGAGCGCCAGAUCUGUUUCCGGGACUGUUGACUCCCAGCCUGGAGAGGAGAGCAGCAGGCUAACCUGACUGGUCUAUCUUAACUGAGAUCCAUUUAACAACCGGGAACAUUCUUUUGGCUUUGAGUCUUUUCGA